rnacentral:snoRNA from 1 species
AACGGAGGGGACGAUGUUUUUCUAUGUGAAUAUAAAUAUGACAUAAUGUGGCACAGUUUUAAGCGUCUAGCUGACAUU